UCUACAUUUUAGAGAGAGAGAGAGAGAGAGAGAGUGAGGACAGCGAAGGCGGCACCACGGCGAUGAUGACGAUAACGACGACGGAGAUGAGGACGGCGAUGAAGAAGGCAAGGGAUCUCUUUUGGGGCUUCUUCUGUGUGUUUCUUUCGUUAGAUGAGAAUGGCCCAAUGGAAUGCUUUUUGAACACCAUAGAGGCAUGUUGUGCAAUCAGUGUCUAGCUGGAUCUGGAUGGUCAUAUUCCAAUUCUGAAACUCACUCUAAGUGUUCGCAGGAAGAUAUCAUCUGUGCUAAGCACCUGAAUAGCAAAUGGGGAAGCUCAAGUGUCGCUAUAGGGGAUCCCAUGCUUUUCCCAUACAAUAUUCAAUUGGAGAAAUUAAAUGCAUACAAAUGAUGGACAGUGAAUGACAUUGGCAUUAGUGCAGGCGAUGUAUAUGCAGCUGUAGAAUGUCCCUCUGUUUUUGGCUUAAGGUCUCUCUCUUAUUCUCUUUUUUCAAAUAACUACUGUUUAGUUUAACUUCUGACUUCAUCUCCCUUAGGUAUGGGUGGUUCUCCGAACUUUGCCCCAAAACAGUUGCAGUACCUUCUAGAUCUACUCACUUGGGGAAUGGCUUUCAGGCGAAAGAGAGAGGUUGCAGUGCAAUUUUAGAGCUUGUAGAUAUUAGAAAGGAAGAAGUUUUAGAUUUCAAGCCAACCAAUCUAAGUAAACUGGCAAAUGCAACUCUUACUACAAAUAUAUGCAUUUAGAUGUCCCAGUUGACUGCAUGGUAGAUAAUAUUGCGAUGCUGUUCAUCUGUCAUAUUGUUGCAUGACAGUUAAUUUUUCGAUGCUGCUCUCUUCCUUCUAUAGCUAUUGCAAAAUACAGUUUUCAGUAUGGGUUUAUCCAUUUCAUUUUUUAUCUCAAAACUCAUUGAAACCUUGUCAGAUUAGUUGCGUAGUUCUUGUAAAAAAAAAAAAAAGUUGCGUAGUUCAGAUUUGCUGGAUAUCUACAUGGAGUAAGUUUUGACAUGACUAUUUUUCACAAGUCUUGCCUUAUGGGGUGGCCUUUCUUGCUUUUCCUUGAUGCUUCUAUUGAAACUAAAAGGCUGAAUGCAUUUCAAUUUCAUCCUCUUUUUCUAAAAAAUCCUAAUUUGCUUUUUAUUAGGAUGAUGAGGUGAGGUUUGGCAAUAGCGUUGCAUCGUCAUUAGUUCCGUGGGAUGAUAGUUUGACAAACUUAAGCGUUGGAGGCUUGCUAUCGGACACAUCCUUGUUGGGUUUCCUUUGCUCAUUUUCUCAUGUGUUGCUGUGGUUGUAUUUUUGACUCUGGUUAGUCCUCGAUUUGGGUUUGUAAAUUUCCCCCGUCUCGCAGUUAUGCAUAUGGUCCUACCAUUUUCAUUCCGCUAUGUUCUGCAGGUGGGGGAACUAUCUAAGGGCUGCUAGACUUUCGUGUAUAACCGGUUCUGUUUGAAUCACCACUCCUUAGCUUUGCUCCGUUUUGUUUUCUUCUCGUGAACUUUCCCCUUCUUUAAGUAGUAUUAUUUUCUUCCAAGUAGUGUCGAGGUUUCUUCUAUUGUUGUUAGCUAAUAAUGCCCAAGUUGUUUUCACUUUUCAGAGUAACCUUUAUAGUUCUAUCGUUUUCGUUGCAGACACGUAAUAGGGAUAGCAAGAGAAGUGAAUGCAGAGGGAUUUUAAAGGACAUGGAAGAAUUCCGCCAUUAGGCGGUCGAUCAAGGGGGAUUGUUAUGCAAAGUUUAGAAAGGCAAAGUAAUAGGAAUGCUUAGGUCCAUAUUAUACAUAGCUUAGUUUCCAGAAUCGAAAAGCUUGAACAAAAAAAUGAUUUGUCCAUUUUCUUGCUUAUUUUUUAGGGUCAUUCACAUACUUUUGUCACUUUCUCAAUUUCCCGAGGUUUUGCAGAGUCUU